rnacentral:lncRNA from 1 species
GUUGCUGAUGCUCGCAUCUAUGGUUCCAGAUUUCUUUCCUAGGGUUUCUAUCUCCAGUGUUGCCUCACUUUGAGUUUUCUUUAUUGUGUCUACUUCCCUUUUUAGGUCUAGUAUGGUUUUGUUCAUUUCCAUCACCUUUUAGAGAUUGUUCUUCUGGUGAUUCUGUUACAGUCUAUCAGCAGACCUGAGAGACAGAUUCUCUCCUCUGAGUUUCAGUGCUCAGAGCACUCUCUGCUGGCAAGCUCUCUUACAGGGAAGGUGCGCAGAUAUCUUGUGUUUGGACCUCCUCCUGGCCGAAGAAAAAGGCCCAAAACAGGACCUUUCUCAGAAGCUGUGUUGCUUUGGCAGUUCCCAGAAGCUGUCAGCUUCUGUGGUGCAGACUCUCACCUGUGCAGACUAAAUUCCUAAGUUCCGCGGAGUUCCGGAACCAAGAUGGAGACCGCUGGUCCUGAGGCUGAGGCCGCCUCCAGAGCCAGGAAGACACCUGUCCUCUGGUCUGGAUGGUGGCUAGCUGUCUGCCGAAAUUGCGUAUCUCAAGGCUCUGCCCCACAUCCGCCAACAGAUGUUGGAGCCAAAGAAUCCAGAUAAUAAAAGGGGGUAGGAAGUCACAGCAGGCAAAAUACUAGAAGUUACCAGAGGUAGUGGUCAGGAAAAGUUAAUAGGGCAAAGGUGAAUGUGGAACUGUUUCCAAAUAGUUCUUUGCAGCGACUCCAAUCUUUGUUGUCACGAAUCAGCAACAGCAGUUCAAUCCAGAAGAAAAAGCGAGGCUCUGCCAAUGAGCUUCAGUCAGAGGUCUUAGGAUCCCGUGGGGAAUCCUGUGUGGGCCCUUGCAGGUGUUGGGCGAGACUCAGCUGGCAAGGUACCUCGGGGCUCGAGUGGAGCGGAAGGGGCUUGUCAACUUUUAAAUUCUUGAAUUAAAAUUAAACUUAAAGCCAGGCAAUGGUGGCACACACCUUUAAUCCCAGCACUUGGGAUGCAGAAGCAGACUGAUUUCUGAGUUUGAGGCCAGCCUGGUUUACAGAGUGAGUUUCAGGACAGCCAGGGCUAUAUAGAGAAACCCUGUCUCGAAAAACAAAAACAAACAAACAAACAA